AAAGAAGACAUUACUGAUAGUCCAAGUGAAGAUAACGGAUCCAGUACAAAGAAGCUUUCUAAAAGGCUUGGUUGUUUGUCAGUAGGAUCUAGUGCGCCUGGAAAUGACAAUGUUGACUUCAUAGAUUUUGGAAAUGGAAAGAAGAAUCCAGAUAACCCAGAUGUACCAACAUGUAAUU